UACGUAGGGUCCGAGCGUUAAUCGGAAUUACUGGGCGUAAAGCGUGCGCAGGCGGUUAUGUAAGACAGGUGUGAAAUCCCCGGGCUUAACCUGGGAACUGCAUUUGUGACUGCAUAGCUAGAGUACGGUAGAGGGGGAUGGAAUUCCGCGUGUAGCAGUGAAAUGCGUAGAUAUGCGGAGGAACACCGAUGGCGAAGGCAAUCCCCUGGACCUGUACUGACGCUCAUGCACGAAAGCGUGGGGAGCAAACGAGG
rnacentral:rRNA from 1 species